rnacentral:lncRNA from 1 species
UAGCCGGAGCCUUUGCAGUAGUAGGAGGCAGGAGACACCUCUUUGCUUUGUGUCCAAGAUUACCGCACCUCUCACACAUAGAAGGGAUCCAUGUGUACUCAACAUUAACAAGGAAAAUGUGACCUUGUUUAUCAUCCAGUGCAAUAAGCUUUGGGAAGUCUUUGUCCAGCUCCAUCUCAACUAAAACCUUUGCUUCACCCAUAUUGGUGGGAUCAAGUCGGGGUUUGUGCGUAAGGAUAGGCUCUCCUAGUCCUGAGGCGACAUGACUUAUUCCUAAUCUUGAGUAGCAACAAUCAGGGACGUUCUUCAAGUUAGCCCAAACCGGUAAGGUAGAGAUUUCAGGGAUUUUAAAAGAGCCUUCUGGAGUCCAUGGCAGGACAAAAAGUAAACAAUCAU